UUUUGCGUUCCGUAAUUAAAGGAUCUUCCCUUAAGGUGACUCGGGGAGGCACUACACACCGUGUUAUUUUUCCUAUCUUUUGUCUUUUUCUAACAUUGUCACCUCGUAAUUUUGGAGUGGCGUAUUUCGGUUUUCAGUUGUUUGAUGUAACUGUAAAUGUAUCAGCAUGUAGAUUUCGAGUAAUCACGCGCUGGUGAUAUUUUUUCAAAAUCAUAUUUGUUGUAAGAAAAAAAAUUAAGCAUUGAUGAUAAUCAAUAGUAUCAAUAGAAUUGGCAAAUUACUGAAGGGUUUCCGAAUCGAUUGAUAAGCAAAUGUCGAAAAUAAGAUAAAGACGCUAUUAGCGUUUGAAAUCUAUCCUAAUUUUUGUGACAGUCUCGAAUUUGGAAAUUUCCGUUUUAAACCCUGUAUCUGAGUCUUCCCCUUAGACGAAGUUUACGUCAAAAAAUCUGUAGCAAACAUCAAUACUGACGCCAUACAUUUUUUUCAGUCAUAAUGCGAAUCAAUUGUUUGCAUGGUCUCCUUCCGAUACUUGCUUGGGAUUCAACUACCGACGUUAGCGUUACGCUUUGAAUAAAGUUCAUCUCGGAACCGAUUUCUUUUUCAAUCAACAGAAAAAUACAAAAUUAGUCUCGCGGGAAAAUUUCAUGUUGUGCCGACAACAUCCAAAUCGUUGCAAACGCCACAUUAGUGAAUAAAUUGCUGUAGCAAUCUUCCGAUGACAGCCUAUGCUCGGCACUAAUGCUAUGAUUCCGCUACCGAUGUCAAACAAUUAUGCUUUGUUCUAUGAAGAAAGUUCGUCUAAUAUCAACAUUCUCAAUCACUAAAAUCAUACAACUCCGAAUUACGCUAGAAAAUUUCACCGAAGAAUUUUCCAGUUCCUAACGGUUGCACUUUAGGAAAAUUAUUUCAACUUGACCUUCCUCCCAAAUAUAAUGAUGGUCCUGAAAAGAACCGAUUAAUUGCCACUUAUGUGCCUUAUUAACAGCAGCCACUGGGCUGCGCGACCGCCAUCCGAUGAUUCGGCUCAACGAACGCCGUCGAUUGCCAGAUCCGCCGAAGAUGGGACACGGAUGAAAAUGAUGUGCUGCUGCUUCCACGACCGCCACCACCACCGACCGAAAAAAUUUCAUCCGCACCACCACCGCUGAGACAGCCGUUGUCACUGGGACCGCUUCUAGACGCCCUGGUCCGCUCGCCGUGACAUCCAGAAUGAAAAUGACGCGCGCACGCGAAACACGGGGCUUUUUAUACACAGGGAAAACGAAGCAGUGGAUCAAAAGGCCCGUACCUUACUACAAUCUGAUGUCCGUGUUGGGGAUUUAUGAACGGAAUUGAAUUUUUCACCCGGUUUGGAAAGAAACAACAUUUUUAAUAGUUUAACGUUGAUAAUCAAUAGUAUCAAUAGAAUUGUCAAAUUGCUGGAGAGUUUCUGAAUCGAUUGAUAGGCAAAUGUCGAAAAUCCAUCGAAAGAUAAAGACGCUAUUAGCGUUUGAAAUCUAUCCUAAUUUCGUGACGGUCUCGAAUUUGUAAAUUUCGGUUUUACACCCUGUAUCUGAGUCUUCCCCUUAGACGUAGUUUACGUCAAAAAGAAAUAAUGCUUUCUUUAAAUGAAUGAAUUUUUCCGGUAUAAGGCAAACAGAGAUAAUGCCUCCUUUAAAUAAACGCCUGCCCAUAACAUAAGAUGAAAAAGGAAGGUGAUACGCUCAUUGUCCUUCAAGCUGCUUAUCGUCAGUCGUUCUUCUUGUCAUAACAAGAUAUACCGGCGGCUUUCCAUACACUAUUGAUGCUAUAAAAAAUAUUUCUAAUUUAUUCUGUCCAACUCCAUAUCUGAAGUAUGCAGUCUUUGCCUAAAGUAUAACCUAGUCGUCGUGGAUUUUGCAUUUUGCAUGAAAAAUGCUGCAAAAUCUACCCAUAACCUUAAUACUCAGGAAGGGUAGCUCGUUCUAUACUAGGUAUAUUGAAUCAAUUUCAGCUUGAAGAACGAAACGCACCGUCCAGAACUUGCUAAUAUUACACGGCGAACCUUGUUGAGAAAGACGCAAAAAGGAAGUGACAAAGUUUGCUAUAGAUUAUUUCGUAUAACAUUGUUAAUCAUUCAUUAGCUGCCCUUCUUCGCAUAAUUGUCCCAUGUUUGUUUUUAGAGAUUCAAGUUUUAAUUUAAGAACGCUUUAUUCUCAUGCAUAUUUACCGAAAACAUUAAAAAAUACCGAACUUUGUUCGGAAAAUUAGUGAAAACAACAUCAUGUCUGUUUGUCCCAUUGUUGAAUUUCUACGCAUCUUUGUCUCGCAAGGAAAAGAUUCAUCAUUAUGGAAGAAUCCGUUAUAUAAACGAGCGAUGCUUAUAGGAAUGGUAUUAACUGACCAUUUCUUUCAAGCUUGUCCACUUUUAGUGGUUAAAGCAAGGGUUAAAGUGACAAUUUAGAACUGUAUUCUAACACAUUCAACCACGUGUUGAGUAAAAUUUAAAAAAAAAACAUUAGGCAAGAUAUGUCGAUCAUAGUAGUCAUUAAAGAAAUCGGCCACAUAGCGGGACUGCGUUGAAAAAUGCAAACACUUGUCAUAUUUCUCGGCAUAACUGUCCCACUUUACUAUUUUCAUGAUUUAUGCCGUAAAUUUUAUUUAUAUAUUCAAAACUUGAAUGAUUUCAAUAGAAUAAAGCUCUCCCAUUAGUCUAGUGGUGUAGACUCAUUAAAUCUCCUACCCGCAAGAAGCCAGAAAUGAAAAUUGCAGUUUUAUUUUUAACAUGCGAUUUUCUCAGCUUUUUUUUGAAUAUGGUAUAAGUACGCAUAGAACGGCAGUAAAGGACUCUGAGCAAACUUAUUGAGUAACAAUUGAUUUCAUUAAAGUGAAGAAUAAGCUUGAAAUAAUGACUAUUUCGGGAUACUGGUUCACUGGUUCCGAAUGUCGUAGUGACUCAUCGAGGGUAAAGGCUACUAGUAGCCUUCGGGGUAAUAGCAUUAUUGGCAAUGGAAUUAAGGGUAGCGUCGUAAAGUCAAAUGAACGGUGUAAUCGUUCUUAUUGAUUUUUGCAAUGUUCGAUUCCAAACGGUUCCGUAUCUUUAUAAUGUCACACCAAUGUGUUAACCCAGGUGGCCUGACUAGGACAUCCAUUACUAUAAGGUCUGUCAGUAAUUUACAAGACGAAAAGCAUCCUAUGUCAUUAGUCCUGUGUCUCCCUUCCUACGCUAAGCCCGCUAGAGCAAACAAGAGUAAACUAGCAUAAUUUAAUGUUUGAACAUUUUUGUCAACUUAUAGGGCAAAGGAUGUAUUUUGGACCACCCUUACGGGGGCUCUUAUUUUGGACCACCAAGAGGAAUUUGCACUCGGUGGUCCAAAAUAAGAGCCGUCGAACUAAUUAUUUGGCUCAAUCAUUUUUUUUUAACUAAUUUGCUUUAAUUGAAGUUCAAAAAAUAAAACACUUGACUUGGAUGAAUAGUCUGCAGCAUGAACCUAAUGGGCUAUUUCAGUAGACGGGGGUGAAAACAAGAGCUGUGGCUUUACAGUCGUUGAUGAAUUCGAUCGAGGAUGAAUAAUAGAUACGGCAACAGAGAACUUCUGCCGGUGUAGUUCAUUGAGCAGCUUGUCACAAGUUGUGACUCACAACAACGUUUUCAUUGCGGACCGCUUUUCGGAUCCUUUAAGCCCGCUGUUAAAAGUGCAAUUAUCCACUGCACAAAUCUUCGGUAAUAAUAUUACAUAAUAACUGAUUGAAAUUGUUCACUAGUCUAUAUUCUCUGGAGACCUUCAUAGCGUGACUGUUCUCAGAUACUUGAAUGUUCGUGUUGAUCUAUAACUCUGAAACAAAUUUGGAACAAUUUUCAGAAAUCUAUACUUUCGCAUUUACUUCUAUUAUAACUUUGCAAUUUUCUUGGUAUUGCAUAUCCAGUAAAUAGACAUUCACCUUAUUUUUGAUUCCCUUAAACAUUUGCUUAGUGAUAGGUAAUACUGACUAUGUAUUACGUACUGUUCGCUAUCUAUUACAUAUAAUGUUAGACUGACCCAAGAUUGAACGACACAUAAAGGAAAGAGCUGCCGCACUCUUGAUGCCCCCUCCUUAUAUUACAUUGAAAUCAUCAAACCCAACGACCGCGACCGAGAUAAUAUAGCGGGGACUUGUUAUUCGUAUCCUUUCUGUUUUCCUACACACACAUACAAUAGCGAAGGUCACGCAAUACUGCGGUGGUUUACGACGUUCACUCACUACCGCCCGUUGUCGUCAACUUCGACAACAACGUCGUUACAUGAAUGGUAAAAGCAAGUCCUGGUGGUAUUAAAUCGAAAACGUCAGAUUGGCGUAUUAAACACGGAAGUCACUGGGCCGUUUAAAAUCGAAGGGAACAUUUUUUCUUUCAAUCGGAACAUGAAGAUUUUGACUAACGCAACUGGUUAUGCUGGAGAAAUCUCUUUGGGUACUUAUGGGGUUCUAUCUACGUAUCACCAUUAUAGAAACGAAGAAUCCGGAAAGUGGGACCGAAAAAUGUAGAUUUGAUAGUUUUUCAUCAUACCUGCUAAGAAUAGUAAGUUGUGCAACUGGGCCCUUUCUUAGCCGUGGGGUAAGAUUCGCGGCUUCAAAGCAAGACCAUGCCGAAGGUCGCUGGUUUCGAUUCUCCUGCUCCGGUCUGAGAAAUUUUCAGGUUAGAAUUUCUCUACUUCCCAGAACAUAGAAGUAUCAUCGUGUUAGCCUUACGAUAUACGAAUGUGAAAAUUCUACAUUGGCUUAGAAUCCUCGCAUUAACAACUGUGAAAGUGCUGAAAGCUGCGAACCGACAAUGUCCCAUUGAUGUAAUGUCAAUCAGAAAGAAAUUUGUGCAACUAGUUGCAAAAAGUUAUUUUUUCAGCGUGAGUUGUAUUUUUAUAUAACAAGAAUUCCCGAGAAGGUGAAUGGAAAAUUCUUCUGAAUAUUCACAGAAAAAAGUUUUAAAUUUCCACGGGAAGUUGUUUUUUUAAUGUCCAGAUUGUUGUUCAGAUUAAUAAUUUUGAGUUUACAUCGCCGAAGAUUUUCUGACCGGCGCACACUGUUUUCAAUAAUAAUAUACCGUUCUACCGUGGAAAAGAAGCUAGAAAUGUGAGCUGAUAAGUGAAUGGUUGAUUCCACGUGGAACGAAUAAUAACAUUAUCCACACAGCAGUUGAUUUCACACAGGCGAGUUUCUCAAAUUUUCAGAAUGUGUAUAGAAACAUACCCAAUAGGGUCCCCCAAAAUCCCAGACUUUGUCCAAUUUUGGGACACCCUAAUACCCAACCUCUGAAGACAGAUACCAGCCUUCCGACGAUGAACAUUUUUUUCCCAAUUCGUGGAAACGAUACCACCCCUAGUGCUGUUACCAGUUCGGCUUGGUAGAUACGAGUACUGCAGAAGAUGUCCUCUUGUUUGAAAGCCGAAUUCCACGAAACCAGAUCAAGGCUUUAGCUUCCAACAGUCAGCGUAAUCAAGCUUUUCCAGAAAAAGGAGAUAAAUGAGAAAAAUAUCACGUUGCUCUCGGCAGUGGUGCCGAAUCGAAGAACGGGGGUGCUGUGUAGAGUCCAAAUUAGGGCGUCACUUUUCGGGCAAAAAGCUUAGGCGGAUUUGCAAUGUGAUUAAUUGAGGGAUUUAUACGUUUUUCAUUCGUAGGUCAUUGGGUGAUAAAUUCAAUUUUCGUCUAUGCAAAUGUAUUUAGAAAUACAAUCGCGAUAUAGCAGCUUCAAUUAAUGAUUAUUAUAGCAUUGGCUUUUUUAAAAGGGCUAUGUAUUUUAAAAAGUAAGCUAUACUCACAUAAGCCCAAGUUUCAUGAUUUAUUAUAUUCAAAGUAAGUUUUGAACAAAGGCUGUCGGGAAUGAAUAUUUUAAUUUAUGACAUGCGAAUUAGGGGUUAUUGUGGACGUUUUACUCAAAAGUCUUGAAAUUAGUCAUAAGAGUAAUUCAACUGCUGGUGCUCAAUAUACGCCGACUUUCUCUACUAUUCGAAUCAAACUAUACAUACCACAGCAUAGAAACAAGCUAAUUGAAACCAACGACACAUUUCGUAUUGGAAUUUAAUAGUGCGUUUUAUUAAUCAACGAAACUAGAUCAUCGAACAUCUGAUUCAAAAUAUAAUUGCCAGCAAUGCACGCCCAAAAACCAUGUUCAUUAAGCGCGACAGGCAACAGGCUUUGUGUUUUUAUAUCAGUUUCACUCAAUGCAAAUGUGUUUUCCAUUUGCUAUCGCAAAUACAUUUGCGGUGAACGAACAUCGUGGUUUUGGUUGGAGGGCUAGUGAAUGGGCUGUGUGUGCAAUCGCACGACGAGCGAAAGCAUAUCAAUAUCAUUCGUCAUUUAAUUAAAUCCGCAUGGUGAAAAGCGAUAAUUUUAAUAGUCUGAUAAAACCGACAUCACGUUAAUUACGAGAUCGAUGCUCACCCGAAAACAUUCUUCCCCAUCCUUUCUGUCGGACGGCCGACAGAAACCCAAACGCCGUCCGCCGUCCAAUGGCCAAUCCACCGGGUUCGAGCGUUGGCGACUGACACGACACGACCAUUUUCCAUGCCGACGCCUCGCGUGGAAAGAUCUAAUCAUUGCGCGGGCUUUUUGUUCCACCAGUCAACCACGAAAUGACGAUUAUUUAGCUAGUUUGAACUUCAUUGAGCCAAAACAAAAAAAACAAUACUCGAUAUUCGGCUUCCACUGUGAAUACAUAUCCAACCAUUUUGUGAUGUUGAAAAGUGUUUAAGGGAAAACAUGCCGUGAAGCAGCUGCAUCAACCAAAGUUGAUUGAUUAUAAAUGUAAUUGAAUUUCUCGAUUAUGCAUGCACCUACACCAAUUUCUAUACCUCUACAAACCGAAAAUAAAUCACAUUCAGUGCAAAAAUUGCAGAAGAAACUUAAAUGUUUUGAAGAGCAUUGGAUUUCAAGCAAAUAAGCCCAAUGUAAAAGAAAAGAACUUCAAAAAAUAUCCAAACUGAACAUUCACCCGUCCCUUGAAAAAUGAAUUUUCAAUUCGUAUGAAACAUAUCGAGAAAAGAAUAAUGAGUUUAUCAAUGACGCCGUUUCCAUAUCAAAACACAUUAAGAUCAAUUAAGAGCUUUUUCAUGCAUAAAUACAUUUUCGGCGGGAGCUACAGUAAUUAAUGAAUUUUCACACUUUCGACAGCAUUACAAAUUAGAAAAAAAGACAAAUGCACGAAAUUAACUGCGCAACGGAAAUCGAAGCUGUUUAUCGUUCGAGCAACUAGGUUUGAGCAAUUUUCGAAUGAGGAAAUUGUUUUGAAUUUAACACAAUCUCUAAUAAGAAGAUACAAACUUACUAUCACUGUUUCUCAUUCAACAUAUCUGCUGAACGCCGCAUGGAGAAGGAAGUUCUCGAAAUCUAUCAAUAAAUAGUUAAUUAAUUUACAGUAGAUAAAUGAGAGACACGAGUGCCAUGAAAUGAAAUCAAAAGAGAGAAGAAAUAUACACUUAAAACCGAUAAUAAGUCACGAAUGUUGCAAAGGUAGAUCCGAAUGUGACAAAUGAGAGUAAACCAAAGUUGAGGGUUAUGGAAAAGUAAGAAUAGUUACGGAAACAAAUCAGUCAAGCAGAUAUCAGCAGCCAUAUACAUAAAAGUGAAUCGGUACGAUGAGAAGCAAUUCUCUAGGGUUAGGUUUUAGUUAAAUCAAAAUGGUCGAGAGAAUAAAAACAUAUGACCUUCAUAAGAUGAAAAACAAAUCAAGAAGAUUCAAAGCAAGGAAAUAAAAUCAAUAAUAUUAAAAACUAA